CGCUCAUGAUGACGUCGCGGAUAUAUUCUCCAUGCUCUACCUACAGUUGAAAAUGCUAUCUCAUCACGACUACAUCUUUCGCAGCAGAGCAGAGGCGUUUGGAGUUUUGUUUUGGGGUUUUUCCCCAUUUUCAUUUUGGAGCAAGAAAAUGACGCCGCAACUUUUACAAACCAUGAAAUUAUAAGUUGCAUUUUAUUUCAAACUAUUUUCAUUUUACAGCUUACUGAUUUAAACAUUACAAUAUUUGUGUCCACGUUAGAAUUUAUCUACUUCAUAAGUAAAACGAUGAAACAAAAUGAAAGUUUACAAACUCAGCUAUUUUUACUGACUAACUUAACCUACUUUAAAAGCAAAAAUGGUAUACUCCAAAUAAAUGCAAAUGGAACUGUAUGGCAAAUAAAUGCAAAUGCAACUAAAGUGGAGUUAGGUGUAUGCUUUUUGCAUAAAAUAAGCUGCUCAUCUUGAUUGGCGGUGUGUUAACAGGUGCAGAGCAAUAUCAGGACAAGGCCGAACAUGUAUUCCUCGAAUCUUUGGAGUUGAGUUGGGUUGAGCUGGAUUGACUAAGGCUGGUAUUGAGACUGGAGCUGAGACGUUGGCAACAGCUCUGGCCAGUAAUAUGUCAGAAUGAAUUUGCCGGCAAUGCUUUACUAAGAACUUGUCAACCCUCAUCACUGUGUUUUCCAUUGAAGCCUUUAUGUUGCCAAUACAUGCCUCAGCUCUAGCUGAGAUUGCUACAUCAUGGGGAUUAUUGAAAAACUGUUGCAUUACAUUUGUCCAGCAAACAAAAUCUUUGGCUAAAUCUAUCAAUCUAUUAGCAAAAUCAGAUAGAGCUUGUGCAAUUGGUACUAUUUGAUCUCCUAUAUGAGUGCACAUUAUGGACAAAAAAAUGUCACUGGAAUCUCCGUCAGGUCUAUUGAUUUUCAAUGCUAUCGAUGAUGUUGCAUCAAGGGCCACUGCAUUUCCCAACUCGUUCGCGAUAUCAUUGUAAACACUUAUUUGGGAAGGUGACCAAUAUGGAGUUAAAUAAAGGUAC